CGAAUCUCUCUUUUGGAAUAACCUUCUAGCUUAUUAUUAAAGUUAAUCUUUUCUGGAUUUAACUCCAAAACAAUGAAAGCCAAGGAUGGUUAAUUUCUCGAACACACGAUGAGCUAUAUUAUAAAACAAGCUAAAAAGAAUAGUCAAAUCCAUGUAAGUUUAACUUUCCAAAUAAGUCGGAGCCAGAAGUAUUUAAUGAGUAUUUAAUUGUUGUUUCCUGUCAUAAUACGAUUAUACAGCAAUUUGUACUAUCGAUAUUUUGUUUACUAUUUAGAAAAGAAACUAUCACCACAACCGCUUAUAAAAAAGAAAAUUGCAUCUGAUUGACUUCUAUCUUUUAUUUAGACAAAUACUUCAAAUCAUUCACUUAAUUAAGAAAUGUAGAAAGGGACAAUCGUGUUUACCUUUCUAUUUCAAUUAACAGCAUCUACUUCACCACGAAUUAUAGAGUAAACAGUUAUUUUUAUAUUUCAGUUUCAUAAACCCGACCAUGUCAUCUGGUACGGACAAGAGUUAUAUAGAUUCCGUUAUACUUAUUUGUGCCUUGGAGUCCUUUCACAGCACUUUGUAUGGUGUGGCUGCAGAUUUUCGUAAUUCGUCAAUUAAUUUUGCAGCUACAAUGUAUUGCAACGAAGAUUACUGAAUCGUUUAACACCAUGUCUUAUUGCAGCAAUCGAACUGCAUUUGCUUCGUGUGUUCAAGAUCGAUAUGUGAAACCAUUCAGAGAGAUUGAUUCGAUAAUUGCCAGGUAUUUGAACCCAAACUCGAUUGGUUCAGCAUUAAAUCAUUUUUGUGAAUUACGUAAGUAGCUAGUAAGUUUACUAUUGUAAGUUCCCUUUUUUACAUACUGAUAUUUAAUGUUUCAAAACUGAUGAAAGCAGAUCUUAUCUUGAAUUUAGCUCUAUACUUCUUAAGGAAAAAAAACAACAAACACACACAUACACAUGAACAACAUAUACUACCAUAUAUAUGCUUCUAUUUAUCUUCUAACCCGAAGCAAGAACUAUCAAUAUAAAAAAAAUAACGUUUGAGAUCGAGGAACAAUAUAAAAUUUCAAAGAAAAAUACGAACGGAAAAAAAAUCCUUCCUUUUUAUUCACACCUCCCCUGAGUUCAUGAAUUUGCACUUGAAAAUUACAAACAGAUAGACUAGUAUACCCUUGACACAUAAAUGAAAAUUAUUUAAAAUAAAAAAAAGAAAAUAAG